CAGAAACACGAGCCACAGACGUCACGCCGUUCUUAAAGAAAUAGCAGCAGUUGUCAACCGGAAGUAGAAUGUCUAGGAUGACCUGUAGAAGCUAUUUCUGUAUAGUACGGAUGCUGGUACAACUCUGUGCAAACAUCAAACACUGUGUGGCACCCACAGAGGUCUAGGUCACUCUGAAAUCAAGCUGUGAAAACUAAACCUUGCCAUUGGAAACCUCUGGGGAAACUCAUCAUGCCUCACAUACAGCAAUUCCUCUGUUAUAAUGUUUGUUUAAUAGUGUUUGUAUUUAACAUAAAUAAUGUUUAAUAAUGUUUAUAUUUAAC